rnacentral:rRNA from 1 species
CCUACGGGGGGCUGCAGUGGGGAAUAUUGGACAAUGGGCGAAAGCCUGAUCCAGCCAUGCCGCGUGUGUGAAGAAGGCCUUCGGGUUGUAAAGCACUUUCAGUGGGGAAGAAAGCCUUGGGGCUAAUACCCUCGAGGAAGGACAUCACCCACAGAAGAAGCACCGGCUAACUCCGUGCCAGCAGCCGCGGUAAUACGGAGGGUGCGAGCGUUAAUCGGAAUUACUGGGCGUAAAGCGCGCGUAGGCGGUCUGAUAAGCCGGUUGUGAAAGCCCCGGGCUCAACCUGGGAACGGCAUCCGGAACUGUCAGGCUAGAGUGCAGGAGAGGAAGGUAGAAUUCCCGGUGUAGCGGUGAAAUGCGUAGAGAUCGGGAGGAAUACCAGUGGCGAAGGCGGCCUUCUGGACUGACACUGACGCUGAGGUGCGAAAGCGUUGGUAGCAAACAGGAUUAGAUACCCCUGUAGUC